AUUGAACGCUGGCGGCAGGCCUAACACAUGCAAGUCGAGCGGAUGAAGGGAGCUUGCUCCUGGAUUCAGCGGCGGACGGGUGAGUAAUGCCUAGGAAUCUGCCUGGUAGUGGGGGAUAACGUCCGGAAACGGGCGCUAAUACCGCAUACGUCCUGAGGGAGAAAGUGGGGGAUCUUCGGACCUCACGCUAUCAGAUGAGCCUAGGUCGGAUUAGCUAGUUGGUGGGGUAAAGGCCUACCAAGGCGACGAUCCGUAACUGGUCUGUGAGGAUGAUCAGUCACACUGGAACUGAGACACGGUCCAGACUCCUACGGGAGGCAGCAGUGGGGAAUAUUGGACAAUGGGCGAAAGCCUGAUCCAGCCAUGCCGCGUGUGAAGAAGGUCUUCGGAUUGUAAAGCACUUUAAGUUGGGAGGAAGGGCAGUAAGUUAAUACCUUGCUGUUUUGACGUUACCAACAGAAUAAGCACCGGCUAACUUCGUG
rnacentral:rRNA from 1 species